rnacentral:rRNA from 1 species
CUUAACACAUGCAANUCAAGCGGAAAGGCCCUUCGGGGUACUCAANCGGCNAACGGGUGAUUAACACNUGANUAACCUGCCCCUGACUCUGGGAUAANCCUGGGAAACUGGGUCUAAUACCGGAUACAACCAUUUCUCNCAUGGGAUGGUGGUGGAAANUUUUUNCGGUUGGGGAUGGGCUCGCGGCCUAUCACCUUGUUGGUGGGGUGAUGGCCUACCAAGGCGACGAACGGUAGCCCGCCUGAGAGGGCGACCGGCCACACUGGGACUGAGACACCGCCCGAACUCCUACGGGAGGCAGCACUGGGGAAUAUUGCCCAUGGGCGGAAGCCUGACGCAGNGACGCCGCGUGGGGGAUGACGGCCUUNGGGUUGUAAACCUNUUUCAGCAGGGACGAAGUUGACGUGUACCUGUAGAAGAAGCGCCGGCUAAAUANGUGCCAGCAGCCGCGGUAAUANGUAGGGCGCGAGCGUUNUCCGGAAUUAUUGGGCGUAAAGAGUUUGUAGGUGGCUUGUUGCGUUUGCCGUGAAAGCCCGUGGCUUAANUACGGGUUUGCGGUGGAUACGGGCAGGCUAGAGGCUGGUAGGGGCAAGCGGAAUUCCUGGUGUAGCGGUGAAAUGCGCAGAUAUCAGGAGGAACACCGGUGGCGAAGGCGGCUUGCUGGGCCAGUUCUGACGGUGAGGAGCGAAAGCGUGGGGAGCGAACAGGAUUAGAUACCCUGGUAGUCCACGCUGUAAACGUUGGGCGCUAGGUGUGGGGGUCUUCCACGAUCUCUGUGCCGUAGCUAACGCAUUAAGCGCCCCGCCUGGGGAGUACGGCCGCAAGGCUAAAACUCAAAGGAAUUGACGGGGGCCCGCACAAGCGGCGGAGCAUGUUGCUUAAUUCGACGCAACGCGAAGAACCUUACCAAGGUUUGACAUACACCGGAAACACUCANANAUGGGUGCCUCCUUUGGACUGGUGUACAGGUGGUGCAUGGCUGUCNNCACCCUCGUGUCGUNAGAUGUNGGGUUAAGUCCCGCAACGANCGCAACCCUUGGUUCCAUGUUGCCAGCACNCCCUUUGNGGUGGUGGGGACNCAUGGGANAAUGCCGGGGUCNACUCNGGAGGAAGGUGGGGAUGACGUCAAGUNAUCNUGCCCCUUAUGUUCUUGNNGUG